rnacentral:rRNA from 1 species
UACGUAGGGUGCGAGCGUUAAUCGGAAUUACUGGGCGUAAAGCGUGCGCAGGCGGUUCGCCAAGUCAGGUGUGAAAUCCCCGGGCUUAACCUGGGAAUUGCGCUUGAAACUAGCGGGCUUGAGUGUGGCGGAGGGGGGUGGAAUUCCACGUGUAGCAGUGAAAUGCGUAGAGAUGUGGAGGAACACCGAUGGCGAAGGCAGCCCCCUGGGAUGACACUGACGCUCAUACACGAAAGCGUGGGGAGCAAACAGG